UAUUACCAGAGAACAGAGGCGUACAAGCAUUAUCAGACACCAGGAGGAAGGUCCUGUGUAAACAGACAUAGAAGUCACCGUAGAUGUGCCCGAUAUCUCGAUGCACGUGUCUGCAGCAUGUGAAACAGAAGUCAAAAUCUCACCAUGCUGUUAAGCUGCAAUAAGAAGAGGAUGGAGAAAACCAGACAACACUGAAGUCCAUGGCAACAAUUCUGUAGACUUUAAAAGGGCCAAAACAAGGUGCAAAUGUUUCAACAUGGCCCUUAUCUACUCCAUCCAAGAGGCUGGUCCAGAUUAGAAGGUGGAAAAAACUAACUCGGGAUGACAUGUUUGCCGAGCUCAUGCAGUCCUCCCGCACUGAUAGGGCCCAGCUGAAUGCAUGGAGGCAAACAAUUGUGGAGUCCUGUAAAGCAUUACAGAAACACGAAGUGAGGAGGGAGGCGCGCAAUGAGAGCAGGCAGGACGCUAUAGUCAAGCUCAUGGGGGAGCAAAUUGACAUGCUCCACUAUAUGGUGGAUCUAAUGCGGGAAAGGCAGCAAGACCACAGAC